UCUUCACAGAAAUAAAUAUCUUCACUAACAGCUUCACUUCCUGUUAACUGGGGGGUUUUGAUUUCAGUUCCUCCAGUAAGUCCAUAAAGACCCUAGAGAUGAUCUGAGAGUAACUCAACAUUGAUUCAAAGAAGCUCAGCUCACCAACAUCAAGACCAUCUGUGACAGGUGUUUAAAAACAACUUUACAGACUCUUUUGACUCUUGAGAGGGUGUGUGGUGACGGAAUCAGAAGGCAAAUAAACGCGAGACAUCAUGGACCUCUUCAACAUCGUUGGUUCCGUGGUAAUGGGUGUGGGCGAGUGCGCGGUGGGCGUGGCCAGAGCCGUGGUGGAUGUCCCUCUGGGAAUCGUGAAGGGAGCCGCUUACAGCACCUUUGAGGCCGGCGGUAAAAUCGUCAGUGUCGGCUCUCCAGCUGAAGCUGUUGGGGCUGCUGUUGGUCUGCUGGUGUCUCCAGUGACUGGUGCUGUGACCGGAGGAACUAAAGAGAUUGUCAAGGCGCCAGAAAAAGUUGUGCAUGGUGUUGUUAAUGGUGUUAAGAGAGUUUUUGACGAUUAAGACGUAUGCAAGUUGGAAGGGUUCAUAUUGAUCCUGCUCAAACAGCGCCGCCUGCUGCCAAUGAGAAUAAAUACAGCCUGCAUAUUUUACAAAAACAUCUGAGAACUGGACAAAAACGUGAAUUAGGAAAAAGAAAAUGUUCCAUAGACGCUCAGUUAAAGAUGGUUUUGACAAUGUCUCUACAAAUUUCUUAAUACUGUAAUAUCAUAAGUCAUCACUAAUCCUUUCAUAAUUAUUUCAAUUACACUAACUAAAAUUCACUCACAUUUUGUCUCUUCGUCCUGUUUUCAGUGUUUGAAUACUUGACAAACAUCAUAUCAAAUAAAUCUUUGAUUUUUCUUCAGAAAACAGAUACUGCAAGCUUAUAUGUCAAGACUCGUUACAGCUGAGAUACUUUCAGAUACUCAUCAUGGUCACUUCAGGGAAAGAUUUGCUUUGUGAAUUGUCCAUACAAACAUAUUUAUAGCAUUUCUAUCAGACAUUAUUCUUAUGUUAGAUUAUAUUGCAUGUCAUUGUUAUUGAUCAAGUGAAACUUGUAAUCUAAUCAUCAAGUGCAGAAUUUAAGAUGCAUUUAAAUAAAGAUUUUAACCUGAA